rnacentral:lncRNA from 1 species
UUCAGGGCUUUACAGUUAACCUCAGUAAUUCUCAACAAAUGAACUUGUAAACAGAUGAACUAUUGAGAACGACAGUUCCUUCCUUUACCUAAGCUCAGUUCCACAAGAUCGAAUUUUGGUUCCAACAUUGCACGUGUGUUUCUCAUUAAUAUGUAUGAAAUGCUAUGAUCUCACGAUUUGUUGAUUGAUUCGUCGUUGUACCUUGUUGGUCCAUAUGUGGUUCAAUUUUUUUUAUCCGGACGUCUCAUGUGUGUUUGAAAUAUUAUGAUAUGACGUAUUCAAAUUUUGUUAUAUUGCAGGACACAUGGAUUUCGAAUUUGUAGUCCCGGAGAAUGCACAGCUGAGGGCCCACAUCUUACAGAGAAGCAAUCUGCGGUACGUGAAAAUAAUCCUCGAGCAUUUCGAUGACCGACAGUGCAUGGACUUCAGUAACUCAUGCCUUAGGUUCUUGUCCGAGGUUCUAGAUCUCCAAUCAACAUUAAUUAUGAUGGAUUCAUUUUCAUGUUAUCUUAUUCCGUGCUACUGGAAAAUAUUUAAAUCCUUCACAUCAUUGGAAUUGUUGCUUUGGUGGAGAUCUAUGUGCAAAAGGACGAUUAUGACAAGUUGCGUUCAUCAAUUGACUUCCAUGAUAACUUUGAUUAAAUUGAUGUUAUUAUUGCUUAUUUAUCUAUAAUGUAUGACUGCUUUUCACAUUAGUAGGGUCACAAGAGAAACAAUGAAUUUAUAUGACAUACGUGAUGGUUGUUCAGCGUUUGAUACUGUUGAAUGAAGUCGGAAUAUUUGUUAAUGCGUAGUCUUAUUCGUCACAUUUCUAUAUUCGACAGUUUAAUCAUCGACACAUACUUUGACUUCGAUUUGUUAAGGUUGCUACCAUGGUGUAGUAUGAUUCAAAUGCAGAUGAAAGUCGAUUUCUAAUGUAGACAAUAAGGACGGUCACUGCAUCGCAAGUGGUUGGAACUUAGGGUGCUUUAUAGGGAACAACGUUCUAUUUUGACUUUUAUAUAGUUGUUACAAUUAUUGUUGUAGAAACGUCUGUCAUAUUCAGUCGUAAAUUUAUUUGGUAAUAUUAUCCAUAUUAUUCUUGUUGGGCUAGAGAUUCAUAGUUUUAAUGUUGAAAACCCAGGACGGUGACGAUGUGUGUUCCAAAUGCACACAUCGUUGACACACUCGUUCGUUCCAUUUGUCAUUGUUUAACAUGAGUACUUCAAUUUGUUAUAUCAUAAUUA